rnacentral:rRNA from 1 species
GAUGAACGCUGGCGGCGUGCCUAAUACAUGCAAGUCGAGCGAACGGACGAGAAGCUUGCUUCCCUGAUGUUAGCGGCGGACGGGUGAGUAACACGUGGAUAACCUACCUAUAAGACUGGGAUAACUUCGGGAAACCGGCGCUAAUACCGGCUAAUAUUUUGAACCGCAUGGUUCAAAAGUUAUAGACGGUCUUGCUGUCACUUAUAGAUGCAUCCGCGCUGCAUUAGCUAGUUGGUAAGGUAACGGCUUACCAAGGCAACGAUGCAUAGCCGACCUGAGAGGGUGAUCGGCCACACUGGAACUGAGACACGGUCCCGGCUCCUGCGGGAGGCAGCAGUAGGGAAUCUUCCGCAAUGGGCGAAAGCCUGACGGAGCAACGGCGCGUGAGUGAUGAAGGUCUUCGGAUCGUAAUACUCUGUUAUUAGGGAAGAACAUAUGUGUAAGUAACUGUGCACAUCUUGACGGUACCUAAUCAGAAAGCCACGGCUAACUACGUG